rnacentral:rRNA from 1 species
GAUGAACGCUGGCGGCGUGCCUAAUACAUGCAAGUCGAGCGAACAGACGAGGAGCUUGCUCCUCUGACGUUAGCGGCGGACGGGUGAGUAACACGUGGAUAACCUACCUAUAAGACUGGGAUAACUUCGGGAAACCGGAGCUAAUACCGGAUAAUAUAUUGAACCGCAUGGUUCAAUAGUGAAAGACGGUUUUGCUGUCACUUAUAGAUGGAUCCGCGCCGCAUUAGCUAGUUGGUAAGGUAACGGCUUACCAAGGCAACGAUGCGUAGCCGACCUGAGAGGGUGAUCGGCCACACUGGAACUGAGACACGGUCCAGACUCCGACGGGAGGCAGCAGUAGGGAAUCUUCCGCAAUGGGCGAAAGCCUGACGGAGCAACGCCGCGUGAGUGAUGAAGGCCUUCGGAUCGUAAAACUCUGUUAUUAGGGAAGAACAAAUGUGUAAGUAACUAUGCACGUCUUGACGGUACCGAAGCAGAAAGCCACGGCUAACUACGU